rnacentral:lncRNA from 1 species
AGAGCAGCGCGCGGGGCAGACCUCCUCGGGUCCUCCGGCGCUUCGGUCUCCGGAGACGCCCGGCCUCCUGAAGGGUUCGGCUUGUCCUCCUCUGGCGCUCAGCUCCCUCUGGCGGCCGGGCUGGCAGGACCUCAGCGCCCAGCCCUUCCGUCUUGUUACGUCCAGGGUCUCACUCUGUGUCUCAGGCUGGAGUACAGUGGUGCAAUUGUAGAUGGCUGCAGCCCUCGACCUCCUGGGCUCAAGUGAUCCUCCUGCCUUAGCCUCUCGAGUAGCUGGGAGUACAGAUGCACACCACCACACCCAGCCUAGAAUGAAGAAACCUGCAGUUGGGAAGCAUGAAUUUACCACCUAUUAAGAAUUGUGGCUUGCAUUGUAAGAGGAGCCUGUGAAUUCAGAGGCAAGUCUGCUGAGGACCGAAUGUUCCUGUCCAUAAAAACAGAAGUCUGGCCUGGGCUCCUCUCUUGGGUGAAUUUGCAAUGCCAGAUCCUCUCUAUCAGUUUGGUUUUGUUUCUUGUAUCUCUGGGAAGGCAGGCAGACAGCACGGUCACCUGUGAAUGCAGCUACAAUUGGCUUAGCUGCCUCACUGAUAAAUGUGCCCCCAGUAAGCUACAAAGGGAUUACCAGCGUUCUCAGCAGCUAAAGGAACUGGUGAAGAUUUCCCCAGCAAAAAGUAGAAGCUCAGUGUUUCAUAGAUGAAGACUGGGGAGAUUGCAAAAGACCCAUCCAGCCUACUUCAUGCUUUGAACAGAAGAGUUUUAUCAGUUUUAAAUGUUUCUUCAUUUCUAUACCUUCUUUUAUCUGAGGAGCUUAAGCCAUUUUGUAGAGGCAUUAAGUAUUGCCUCAGUCUUAAUAUGUGAGACAAGGUGUGAGGAAUAUAGAGAUUCAUAAAAUAAUCCCCAUCUUCAAGGAACUCACAGUCAGGAAGAACAGAGCCUGCAACACAAAUAAUUGCAAUAUAGUAGAAGUGCCAAUAGGAGCUCUAUGAAGGGCGUGAAACAGGAAAGGCUACAUAGAGGAGAUGGCAGACACUCUGUGGAUUGUGACCUGUUGGUGGGCCAUGAAAUCAAUUUGGGGGUUUGAGAGCAUCAUUCUUUUAAUAAAACAGAAGAGAAUCAUCUGCAAUAAGGAACCCAUGGAUGAAUACCAUCUGGUCCUGGUGAUUUACUGCACAGAGUCCCUCAAGUUGCUCCAUACCUUUCUCCUGAGAGACUGAAGAAUCUCUGUCAAGGCCGUUCUCUGCUUUGCCAUAAAAUGUGUCCUUGGAACAAGAAUUUCCCCAUUGUCUUCUUCAAUAAAUACUGAUUCAAA